GUUAUAAUUUUUUUUUGUAAUAUUUUUUCAUAUUGAAAGUAUUUGAAUCGUGAAGAAUUAUGAUAACUGUUAUGAUGAAAAUUUUUUCAAAAAUAGACAAAUGAUUCAAUAUUCGCACUUCCAAAGAAAAUUGAACGUGAUCAAAAUAAUGAACAAAACGGUGGAAAUUUGAAAUGAACCAAGAAUGCUGUUGCAAUUACGGCGUGUUCUAAAGAUAUGCAUGUGUCAUUCAUAUUUAAUAUGAAAGUGCUGCAUACUAAUGUUUCAAAAUAAAGAAAUUAGAGAGCAACAGCUAACAGCUAUCGAGAUAAAUGGUACAUCAAAAUUCAGUAUGGAAGAUGACUACAAAUGGAAAAUAUCGGGAAACGAAUUUUAGAUUCACACGUUUGUUCUUCAUUAAUAUUCAGUCUAUCACCCACAAAUGUAAUAGAGUCAUUGGCAAACAUUGUAUGAGAGAUAAAAGUAGAAAAGAGAUUAAUUAAAUGCGAAGAUCGUUUUAAAAUCUGAAAAAAUUUCUUAUUAAAUUAAGAUUAAAUGGACCUGUAAAAUUAAAUCUAUAUAUAUAUU